rnacentral:lncRNA from 1 species
GUGUUCUCCAAGGAGAGGAGCAGCGGGUCUAGUGUCACGUGGAACACAGCGGGAAUCACAGUGCACAUCCUGUGCCCCCUGGAGAGACCCUGGUGUAUCAGAGUCAAUAGUGGACCAUCCUGGGUGUUGCUGACUUUGCUCUUGUUUUUAUCAUCGGGCCUUGUGUCCUUUGCUACUCGAAGAAGAAGAAGAAGACAGCAUCAGCUGUGGGGAGCCCAGCCCUUCUUAAAAAUCCAAGGAAAAGAACCACAGGCUCAAACUAGAGGUCAGUGGAUGGUGCUGGAGCCCUGGCCGCGGUGUCCCUUUGGGUGGCCCCACUUAAAAAGAGAUGUUUACAUCUCUGGGAAGGCACAGUAAAAUAUGUAUGAUCUGGUGGGGAGGUGUUAAAAACUGAGGAGGAAUUCAGACGAAAGUCCUGAAAUCUGGAGAGCCUGAGAAGGGGGUAUCCCUGAGAGCAUACAAGGGUUUCCCACCCAAUUAACUCAUUUUUACUGGUCAUUUUUUCUUUUACCUUUUCCCCCAGAACUUGUGAAGCUACAAGUCCAGUGAUAACACAGAUGGCACCAACAGACUGUAAUGUCCCCCUUCAGCUGCGAAUCAGUCUCCUUGGUCAGCUCCCCACUCCACUGAUUCAACUAGGGGAGCUCAGAAUCUGCAGCCAGGUGACCAGGAUUCAACUCACUGCUCUGGUCUUCCUAGCACUUUCCCUCUUUUUUUUUUUUCUCACGGAUUAGAAGAAUUACAUUAAAAAAAAUUUUUUUAAUUCAGUUUUUUGUUGUUAAAGUAUAGUUUAUUUACAGUGUUGUGCCGGUCUCUGCUGUACAGCAAAGUGACUCAGUUAUACACACAGAG